UGGAUUGCCACCCCUAUCUGUGGUUUCGCACUUUCUCACUUUAGCACCCUGUGGUUUAAUAUUUCGUUAAAUUAUAUACCCGAAAUGGAUAAUAAAAAGAGAAAAUUGAAACAACAUGGUACUAACUUGAUACACUUGAAACCACAUGGUACUAGCUUGAUACACUUGAAAUCACAGGGUACUAAAAUGAGAAAGUGCGAAAUCAUAGGAUACUAACUUGAUACACUUUAAAUCACAGGGCAAUAAAGUGAGAAAGUACGAAACCACUGGGGUAUUUGAAGUUCCCGUUUUUUUUCCCAUCAAAUUUAGUGUUUUACAAAAAAAUAAAUAAAUAAAUACAAUUU
rnacentral:lncRNA from 1 species